GAUGAACGCUGGCGGCGUGCCUAAUACAUGCAAGUCGAGCGAACGGACGAGAAGCUUGCUUCUCUGAUGUUAGCGGCGGACGGGUGAGUAACACGUGGAUAACCUACCUAUAAGACUGGGAUAACUUCGGGAAACCGGAGCUAAUACCGGAUGAUAUUUUGAACCGCAUGGUUCAAAAGUGAAAGACGGUCUUGCUGACACUUAUAGAUGGAUCCGCGCUGCAUUAGCUAGUUGGUAAGGUAACGGCUUACCAAGGCAACGAUGCAUAGCCGACCUGAGAGGGUGAUCGGCCACACUGGAACUGAGACACGGUCCAUACUCCUACGGGAGGCAGCAGUAGGGAAUCUUCCGCAAUGGGCGAAAGCCUGACGGAGCAACGCCGCGUGAGUGAUGAAGGUCUUCGGAUCGUAAAACUCUGUUAUUAGGGAAGAACAUAUGUGUAAGUAACUGUGCACAUCUUGACGGUACCUAAUCAGAAAGCCACGGCUAACUACGUG
rnacentral:rRNA from 1 species